rnacentral:rRNA from 1 species
UACGUAGGGCCCGAGCGUUGUCCGGAAUCAUUGGGCGUAAAGAGCGUGUAGGCGGCCACUUAAGUCCUGCGUGAAAUCUUGCGGCUCAACCGCAAGCGGUCGUGGGAAACUGGGUGGCUAGAGUGCGGGAGAGGAGAGUGGAAUUCCUGGUGUAGCGGUGGAAUGCGCAGAUAUCAGGAAGAACACCCGUGGCGAAGGCGGCUCUCUGGAACGCAACUGACGCUGAGACGCGAAAGCGUGGGGAGCAAACAGG